rnacentral:rRNA from 1 species
AUUGAACGCUGGCGGCAUGCUUUACACAUGCAAGUCGAACGGUAACAGGGAGCUUGCUCCGCUGACGAGUGGCGAACGGGUGAGUAAUAUAUCGGAACGUACCCAAGAGUGGGGGAUAACGUAGCGAAAGUUACGCUAAUACCGCAUACGAUCCAAGGAUGAAAGCAGGGGACCGCAAGGCCUCGUGCUCCUGGGGCGGCCGAUAUCUGAUUAGCUAGUUGGUAGGGUAAAGGCCUACCAAGGCAUCGAUCAGUAGCUGGUCUGAGAGGACGACCAGCCACACUGGAACUGAGACACGGUCCAGACUCCUACGGGAGGCAGCAGUGGGGAAUUUUGGACAAUGGGCGCAAGCCUGAUCCAGCAAUGCCGCGUGAGUGAAGAAGGCCUUCGGGUUGUAAAGCUCUUUUGUCAGGGAAGAAACGGGUUUGGCUAAUAUCCAGAUCUAAUGACGGUACCUGAAGAAUAAGCACCGGCUAACUACGUGCCAGCAGCCGCCGUAAUAC